rnacentral:rRNA from 1 species
GGAUGUAGCAAAGUUGAGGUGAAUUCAGAUAAUGUGGACGUGGUUGAAGCGCUCAGAGAAGGCUAUCCAUCUUCGGUAGCCAGUGCGAUUUUUGAUGAUUGUUACUUCAUGUCCUUAGACUUUAGUCAUAUUGUUUAUGAGCAUUGUUUUAGAGAGAAUAAUAAGGUAGCACAUGAAUUAGUUAGUCUAGCUAGAUUCAAUCCUCCUAACGUUUGGAUGGAUGAGGCCCCUUCGGCUAUCAUUCCUUUAAUUGUAUCAGAUGCUACAAUUGUAGCCAAUUAA